rnacentral:lncRNA from 10 species
AAUUUUCCAGCAAUUUUCAGCAGAUAAAAAAUUGCCAUCAAAGCUCCAAAGCUGAAGACAAUAUACAUCAAGGAACCCCCAUCAUUUAAAGAGAACCAGUGGGCUACUGAGAGGCAACAGAACUGGCGUUCCUCCUCCAAGCAUCAGUCUCCCAUCCUUUCCUCCUCCCUACUGCGUUAUCUACAUAUUAUGUGUUGUACGUAGACUAGAGGAACACAUGGGAGUCACUGGGGACAAGUAAUGUGGCUCUUCUUCUCCCUCAAAGCCAAGUUAAAGAACCCAGUAAAAUUACUUGUAAGGACUAGAUAUACCCAUAAGAAGGAGACAAAAGCGUCUCAUUGUUGGGUUGGACAUCUAUGUAGGCAGUGGAGUUGCUAAUCUGCUCUCAGCACUAACCUGAACAGGAGAAAAACAAGUAUUGGAGAACAAAAAGAAGUGGCACCAGUUGAGAUGCUACUUGGAUUGGAGCAAGAUGCUUGGAUUUUCCAGAAGACACUGAAGAAGAAAGCCAAGCUUGAAGUUAAUUGCUGGUACCUGCCCAAGGGGGCUGUGCACCAAGUGAUGGGACCCCAACACCAAGAGGCUAGGGAGCACAUUGCUAAGGAAGGUGUCAGAAGAGGUGGCCUGUCCCGCAUAAGGGAACUGUGCAGAGGCCCUUGUAUGGCUUCCUGAAGAAUGCCUCAUCAGAGGCAGCAUGGGGAUGCCUACCAAACCAAGUAUAUCAACAGCAGCUCACAUUAAGUGGGAGACAUUUGUGACUUGUCCCCAGUCCUCCACUCAGCUCCACAGGCCAGGGAACAAAGCAAAACCUAUUUAUAAUAGAGAAAAGUAAGAGCACAGACCAUCUGCCAACUCCACUUCCAAGGAUGCCCCUCAGUCCUUGACACAUGAUUGGACUGGAAGGACACUGAGGGAAGGGUGAGGGAAAGGUUUAAGUUGGACAUAUAAGAUUGGACUAGGUCAGACUGGACUUUUAAUAACAGAAAGUAAUAUGGAAGCUACAAUAAUCUGCUGAAGAUUUUAAGGAAUUUGAAGGGAAAUAUUAUCAGCACAUUUGAAGAUUGUGGUCAGCAACAAAAGUAGAAUCUUUUUAUGUUUAAACUCCACUGAGUUCAGUCCCUUCAAUCACUUGGUUACACAAUCAAUCACAGAGAUACCUCUCUAAUAGUACUAUUGGUCCUCCCCAUACUACAGCUAGAGUGCUUUUUCAGACACAGAUCUGACCAUGUCAUGCCCCUACUUAAACCCUUUUAAUGGUAUACCAUUAACAUACCUAGGAUAAAGAUCUCAGUCCUUCCACUACCCCAAAGCUCUGCUUACAGACUCAUGGAUCUGCCUCCACUCUCUCUGUACUCCAUCCACAUUGGUUUCUCAGGGCCUCAGGCAUACCAAAUUGAGCCUUCAUAUAUGCUGUUCCACCUGCCAAAACAUCCUUUCCUACUCCUCCCAUCCUAUCCAGUCCAUUCGAUUUCAGCUCAUAAAUCACUUUCUCAGGAAAGUCUUCCCUGAACUAAGCAGGUGUUUCCUUAUUAUAGACUCUGAAGACACAGCAGUCUCCUUCAUAAUACCAAUUAUAAUAAUAUCUUUAUAUAAUCAUUUUUCAGAUGUCUGUCUUUUCCAGCAGUCUGAAGUAAGACUCCAAGUGUUGUUACUUACCUUUAUAUUCCUGGUAAAUAGCACAUGAGCCAUCAAUGAGAAUGCACACAAGAAAUAUUUGAUGAAUAAAUACAUAAGUGAAAUUACAUGCAUUUACUCAAAGUUAUGAGUAGGUCUCCAACUGAGGCAUCACUGAUCUUCUCUUAUCCUGAGUAUCAGCAACAAAUGAGGUAGGGCCUUCCCUCAGCUCAAACACGAGGCAGGUCCACCUUAGUGUUUGUUUUCUUUGGGAAAUCUUCUGAUUAUAAUAAUAAACACUAAUAAUUGGAGGUAUUUAGUGAGAGCAUAUGAGUGCUAGAUAGAUUAUGCUAAGAGCUUUUCUGUGCAUUGUUGAUCUCAUCUAUUCCUCACAACAACCCCAUAGGCUAGGUGAUUUUAUUAUCUACAUUUUUACAGAAGAAAGAAACAGGGGCCUAGAGAAGUUAAGGGACUUGCCCAAGAUCACACAGCUACUGAGGAUGAGCUGGUACUGGAACCCAAAUCUGGCUGACUCUAAAACCUGUGUUCUUAACCAUUAUAAAACACAGCUUCCAAAACACAGGGAUCUCUCUUUACUUAAGAUCACAGCACUUACUCAGCAUUUACUGGUAGAGACAAUCUUCUGACUUCUACAGCACUGUUCUUUUCCAAUGCCAUUCAAUGCCUGGAUUGAGAUCUAAGAUUUAAUGUUUGUAUAUUUUGGUUCUUCAUUAGAUGCUAAGUUCUUUGCAGAGAGGGGUCUUUACUGUGCUGUGCAUCUUUGGUUUCCUUAUAAGGUCCAUUUCUGGUUUGAGUGCUCAAAAAUAUUUAUAGUAUGAAUCAAUAUAUGAGUACCAGAACAAUCUCACUUAAUAGUUUAUAUGGAUGAAAUAUGCUAUAUUCAUUAAACACAAUUCCAGGUUUAGGGAGAUUUCUAUUUUUAAUGAAGAUGCCUGUGGAUCAAUACUGUGACUCCUAUUUUAAUAUGGAAUAUAAUAAUUAAAUGUGCCCAUGGAAAUGAUUACACACUGUAUCUCCUUAUCUGGAACAACAAACCUUAUGACCUCUUUAUGUUAAAUGUUGGUUUCACAACAAAUGCAGAAAUGUUCACGUUAGAUUUGAGACAGAAUAUAAAAUAGAUGGUAUAUUUUAUCAGAUAUGUAAAGUAUGUUAGGUUACAUCUUCACUUUGUAGAAGGCUAGAAGGCACAGUUUUCUGGCAGUUCAAUGUAACUCAAAUUGGUAACCUCCUUUUAUCAGCUCAAAUAUUAAACCUUCCUGUGAAUGAUUUGAAUGUAAAAUCUUACUCAGGUAUUUGAAAACUAUUUUAUUCCUGAGAAGGAAACCUGGAAGAAAAAUCAAUAAUUUUUCUGGCCUCUGAACAACAAUAUUGUAAUUGUGCCAACCAAAUAAUUUCCAAUUUAUUACUUCCCCACAGGAAAUCAAAGAUAAUUUUCCCACUUUUUAUAAUUGGAAACCCCUGAAGUAAAUCUCCCUAGUUUAAUCACAGAAAUAGGAAAUGAUAGAUCAAAUAUAUAAUUUUUAUUAAAUUCAUUUUGCCAAAACUAUAUCAAGCUCUACUGUCUCUACAAUAAAAAAUCAAAAUCAUUAAAUGAAAAACAAAUAUUGCUCUUACAUUCACUGCUCCAAACUUCAUGCAUCUGUCUCUUUUAAAGGAUCCAUAUGGCCCAGAGCUCAGCUUUCUUCCUUAACAGAAUUAAGAAAAUGAGUUAUAUGCACAUGUAUGGGGAUGUAUUCAUUUAAUAAUUUAAAUAAUACGGAUCUAAAAUAUGCCACAUGAUUAGUUUAAAAAGCAGUGAUUAAAAAUUACAAUUUGUAGUUUAAUCUGGGUACUAUUUUUAAUCUCUUUGAAUUUCCAUUUUCCCACUGGAAAAUGAUGAUAAUUCCUGUCUUGCAUCUAUUUUAUAGGAAUUUUAGAAAGAUUGAGAAGAUAAAUUAGAAACACUUGGAGAAUCUCUAAUGUUAGAUGUAUCAAAUUCUUGGUAUCUUUUUUAUUUUUAUUUUUCUGUUUUACACAGAACUCAGUCCCAAUUCUGGAUAUCUUUACAUAGCUUUGGCUUUAGUUCACAUAAUUCUAUAGAGGAAGAUAAGAGAGAUACAUGGUCCUUUCUAUUACAGCUCUUUGCAGAAUUUCUCAAGACAUGGCAACAACCACAGCAAGACAUAUUUAUGAUUCUUGAUUAUCACAAAAAGCAAAAUGAAAUAAAAUAACAAGCAUGAAAGAAGACUGCUAACUUUGUGUUUAGCCCAAAAUUUAUUCUAGAAAUGUUAACUUCACCACGAACUAUUCACCUUCAGUCUUGAGUGUAUUUCAAAAGCAUGAUUUAAAUUUUUUAUAUUCUGGUUUCCACUGACAAACUCUGCAUUUUGACAAGUUUUGAUGAAGCCUAUUCAUUCUAGACAAUUUAUGCACACCUAACUUGAAUAGUUGAUUUUGACUUUAUCCCCUUGAGUUCCUAGACCUGCCCUGAUUAAAUUUUAAAAUAUAAUUACAGGUAGCACAUUGAGUCAGUCAGUUAGUCAGAGAGAUCUGAGCUCUGUGAAUACCUACUUCCUGCAGCACAUUGCAUUAAGUGCUCUGGAGGAGGAUGGGGGUGGAUGGGAACAGUCACCCAUAAAAUGAUUUAAGGAUUAUUAUUAAAACAACAUAUCACCAAGAACAAAGUAUUUCAGCAGAAACUCUAUACAUGAAAGUACAAGGAAUGAAGGGUAAAGAAAGCACCAACCCUGCUUUAAUUGCCAGUCCUAUAUAUUUAGCAAAUGCAUUUUGUGAUUGUUAACAGGUUUGCAAGCACUCCAACAAAACAAAUUAAACAAUUGUUGGUCUACCUACAAAUAGGCAGCCUGAGUUGAUGUAAGGCAGUUCUUUAAGUUCCUUUACCUGGUAAUAUGUCAAGGGCUUUCUUAAGUGAAGAAUCAGGAAGAGACUUUUUAAAUAAUUUUUUUAUUUUGGAAUAAUUUUACAUUUACAGAAAAGUUGCAAAAAUAAACAAAGAAUUCCUAUACACUCUCACUCAGUUUCCCCUAAUGUUAACAUCUUAUAUGGCCAAAGUACAUUUUUCAACACUAAGAAUCAACAUUGGUACAUUACUAUUAGAUAAACUUUGGACUUUAUUCUGAUUUCAUCCAUUUUCUACUACUGUUUUUGGGUUGUUUUUUUUCUGUUCCAGGAUUUAAUCUAGGAUACCACAUUGCAUUUGGGAGGAAAAGACUCUAAUGUCUUAUUGCUGAGAUUUAAAAAUCAGCUAUUUCUGAACAAUGCAGCUAAUCAGUGUUAGAUAUUAAUAUGAGCAGGAAUAAAUAUGAAUAACAGUCCAAGAGCCACCUGGGCAUACCAUAGUGUCAGAUUUUUAACUAACUUCAGGGAAAAUUAACAUGAUUUUGUAAUCAGUCAUUAAUGUCUACUUUAUUUAGUUAAAGGUGCUGAUUAUAUCAAGCUCUACCACCAUUGCUAGAGUAGUGGGAACUAGUGUGAACACCUAGAUUUUCCUACAUAAGUACAUGAAAAGAGGCUGAUUUGGUUAUGAAAUCUGCCCAUUAGGAAGGCUUAACACAGACACCACAGAAACAAAGCCCUAAAUGGUCAGCUUACGGAUAUCGGAAGAUAAUAAUAGAUCAAGACCAUUGAGCAUGCAUCAAGGUCACCUGGAGGCUUUAUUAAAAUCCAGAUUUAUAAGUCCCAUCCCCAGAGCCUGAUUCCUUAGAGCCCAGGCAUCUGCAUUUCUAGCAAAUUCCCAGGUGAUGCCGAUGCUGCUGAUCCAAGGACUACACUUUGAGGAUCACUAUUCUAGAACUUCCCUAAGUUAACCUUCAUGGAUAAUUGACUGAAAGAGAAAUAAAGCCAUUUUUCUUACAACGUAUAAUCAUGGGUCCCUGAAUUGAUAUGUUGCCUACCAGUUAGAUCAGGGAUCUGUUAAAUCUCAUUCCAAAUCUGUGCAAGGAGUAAAUGAGAAAACAAAACAAAUAUAUUAGUUUCUCACAAUAGUUUUACCAGUCUGUCUUCCUUUUAGGUAAUGCAAUCAUAUUUAAAAUAAUAAAAUACCAUUUUUAACAACAAUAAAAUAACUAUAGUUUAA